GUCAAAAAUACCAUGGCUAAGUAAAAUUUUCAAAAUAUCUUUUCCAGCAUAUUAAAUACAUACAAACUACUUAUUGGAGUAUUAUAACUAUGUUAAAGGAGUUAGAAAUAGCUUGAAUUUUUGAAAUUCAAGGUCUAUAGUAGGGGGUUCAAUAUACCGCAGGGGGGUCAAAAUACCAUGGCUAAGUAAAAUUUUCAAAAUAUCUUUUCCAGCAUAUUAAAUACAUACAAACUACUUAUUUGAGUAUUAUAACUAUGUUAAAGAGUUAGAAUAGCUUGAAUUUUUGAAAUUCAAGGUCUAUAGUAGGGGGUUCAAUAUACCGCAGGGGGGGUCAAAAUACCAUGGCUAAG
rnacentral:lncRNA from 1 species